rnacentral:rRNA from 1 species
UACGGAGGGUGCAAACGUUGCUCGGAAUCAUUGGGCGUAAAGCGCACGUAGGCGGCUCGUUAAGUCGGAUGUGAAAGCCCUCGGCUCAACCGAGGAAGUGCAUACGAAACUGGCGAGCUUGAAUAUGGAAGAGGGUCGCGGAAUUCCCGGUGUAGCGGUGAAAUGCGUAGAGAUCGGGAGGAAGGCCGGUGGCGAAGGCGGCGCUCUGGAACAUUUCUGACGCUGAGGCUCGAAAGCGUGGGGAGCGAUCCGG